UCCACAGUCUAAGUGCCAUUCGGGCUGUAAA
rnacentral:piRNA from 1 species